GGCCCCGUAGCUCAGCCAGGACAGAGCGCCGGCCUCCUAUCCCGUGCGGGGUUGGGAAAGCCGGUGGUCCGGGGUUCAAAUCCCCGCGGGGCCG
rnacentral:tRNA from 1 species